UUCGAUUCUUUCGGGGUGUUAUAUUCACGAUUAGUUCCAUGUUUGAUUUUAUUGCUCGUUCUAUGCUGAAGUUUAUAUGCACGCUUAGUCUCUAUUUCGUUAUGCAUAGUUAGUUUUUGAGUUGCUGAUUUCUAAUUGUGAUGUAGCCUUGUUUAGAGGUUUUUUAUCACUUAAUUCAUCUUUGAGUAAUCUGCGUAGUUCAUAAGUAUAGAGAUUCGUCAUCUCUCAGUCAUACCUGUUGCAAAGAUUAGAGAUGUUGCUUGGAACAUGCGGCCUCGGUUGCGAAAACAUUCUUAAUGUCUGACUGUGUGGUUGUUGAGACUAAGGAGCAAAAACUAAUUCCUGCUGGUAACCCAAUGGACAAUUCAGGAUAUGGAUACUGAGAUAGACCAGCCGGAUUUACUCUUGAAGAUGAGAGAUAAAUGAACAUUCUGAAACGAGAGUAGUUCACCUACAGAUUAAUUUUAGCUUGCAAACAAACGUUGAUGUGCUAAGUGUAAUGAUUAUUUGAACCAGAGCAUAACAUGUUAAAAGUAUUCAGGAGUAACAUUGUUGUAUCUUAAGUCUAACAUGUACAUUUUAGCCACUUUUUUGAGAUAUCAUAAUCCUAUGUAAGACU